CUUACUAAAGCUUUUGAAGCAUUUUAUUUACAUUAAAAAGAAUAUUUAUAUAAAUAUAGUUUGA
rnacentral:tRNA from 1 species